AUUGAACGCUGGCGGCAGGCCUAACACAUGCAAGUCGAGCGGAUGAAGGGAGCUUGCUCCUGGAUUCAGCGGCGGACGGGUGAGUAAUGCCUAGGAAUCUGCCUGGUAGUGGGGGAUAACGUCCGGAAACGGGCGCUAAUACCGCAUACGUCCUGAGGGUGAAAGUGGGGGAUCUUCGGACCUCACGCUAUCAGAUGAGCCUAGGUCGGAUUAGCUAGUUGGUGGGGUAAAGGCCCACCAAGGCGACGAUCCGUAACUGGUCUGAGAGGAUGAUCAGUCACACUGGAACUGAGACACGGUCCAGACUCCUACGGGAGGCAGCAGUGGGGAAUAUUGGACAAUGGGCGAAAGCCUGAUCCAGCCAUGCCGCGUGUGUGAAGAAGGUCUUCGGAUUGUAAAGCACUUUAAGUUGGGAGGAAGGGCAGUAAGUUAAUACCUUGCUGUUUUGACGUUACCAACAGAAUAAGCACCGGCUAACUUCGUG
rnacentral:rRNA from 1 species